rnacentral:rRNA from 1 species
UACGAAGGGGGCGAGCGUUGUCCGGAUUUAUUGGGCGUAAAGAGCUCGUAGGCGGUUUGGCAAGUCGGGUGUGAAAACUCCGGGCUCAACUCGGAGACGCCACUCGAUACUGCUAUGACUCGAGUCCGGUAGGGGAGUGCGGAAUUCCUGGUGUAGCGGUGAAAUGCGCAGAUAUCAGGAGGAACACCGGUGGCGAAGGCGGCACUCUGGGCCGGUACUGACGCUGAGGAGCGAAAGCGUGGGGAGCGAACAGG